UAUAAAAAUUAAAAAAAAUUUAAAAAUCUCACGAACUGAUCUGAAUAGUCAGCUUUUUCUAAAUGGUGUCCUGUUGGAGAAGAAUUGGUCAUAUCCCAAAUAUUUUGUGGCGCUAAGUUCAAUGUUGAUCUCGAAUUACUGAUCCGACGAUUGGAUCACUAGGAAACUUGUUAGAAAGCUACUGCUCAACCCAUUUCUUUCUCUCUCAUCGUGGUCGGAUUUUCUAUGGAUUUCGGUGUUUCUUGUCGAAAUUAGAGCUGGGUAUGAGAGAAGUCGUAGCCACCAGAAACUGGCCGAACAGUGGCCGGAAACAUUCUCGAGAGCUGCUAUUCUUUAUGCGUGUCACUACUCGAUUUCCUUCGUUUUUGUCGUCGCCGGAGAUUUCCUACCAUCACCUAAAGCUGAGGAGAGGGCCUGGCGCAACCUGGCGAUGGGAUUGGACCUUGUCGCUAGAAAACAUGGAGGGGAAGGGGAAAGAGAUAAGGGAGAGGGAGGGACGGGGAGGGGGGGUGUGAUUUCG
rnacentral:misc_RNA from 1 species